rnacentral:pre_miRNA from 12 species
GUGAGGACUCGGGAGGUGGAGGGUGGCGCUGGCAGGCCCCGGCGCCGGCUCAGCUCGCCUCCCCCCACCUCCUCUCUCCUCAG